AAUAAGUGUAGUUUUGCACUAUUUAUGUUCAACGUUUGACCGUUCGUCUUAUUUGAAAAAUUUUUAUGAUUAGUAUUUUUAUUGUUAUUAGAUGAUAAAACAUAAAUAGUACUUUAUGUGUGACUAAAUAUUUUUAAAUUUUUUAUAAAUUUUUUAAAUAAGACGAACGGUCAAACGUUGAGCACGAAUAUCCCACGGCUGUACUUAUU
rfam:Oryza rufipogon genomic scaffold, chr03